GAACCGGCUGCGGCACGGCCGCCGCGCUUCUAUCGCGGCAACGACGUCUUUGAUCCGCUCAAGGUCGGUUUC
rnacentral:tRNA from 1 species